UUUGUCAAUGGACACGCCCACUCUACAUGGACACGCCCCUUUGUUAAUGGACACGCCCCUUUUGUCAAUGGACACGCCCACUUUACAUGGACACGCCCCUUCUAUCAAUGGACACACCCACUCUACAUGGACACGCCCACUCUACAUGGACACGCCCCUUUGUUAAUGGACACGCCCCUUUGUAAAUGGACACGCCCCUUUUGUCAAUGGACACGCCCACUUUACAUGGACACGCCCCUUUCUGUCAUUGGACGCGCCCCCUUUGUCAAUGGACACGCCCCUUUUGUCAAUGGACACGCCCCUUUUGUCAAUGGACACGCCCCUUUGUCAAUGGACACGCCCCUUUUGUCAUUGGACACGCCCACUCUACAUGGACACGCCCCUUUCUGUCCUUGGACACGCCCCUUUUGUCAUUGGACACGCCCCUUCUGCCAUUGGACACGCCCCUUUGUCAAUGGACACGCUCAAUUUGCAUAGACACACCCACCUGACUUACAUGGACGUGCCCAUUUGCAUAGACACGCCCCUUUGCCAAUGGUCACGCCCAAUUUGCAUAGACACGCCCCCGACACUCCCAAUUAGCAUGGACACGCCGCCAGGCUCAAAUGGACACUCCUAAUUUGCAUAGACACGCCCCUGACAUGCCCAAUUUGCAUAGACACGCCCCCAGACUCACCUAGACAUCCCAAUUUGCAUAGACACGCCCUCAACACUCCCAAUUUGCAUAGACACGCUCAGAACACUCCUAAUUUGCAUAGACACGCCCCAAUCUCACCUGGACACUCCUCAUUUGCAUAGACACGCCCCCAGACUUACCUGGACAUCCCAAUUUGCAUAGACACGUCCAAUUUGCAUAGGCACACACCCAGACUCACCUGGACAGGCCUAAUUUGCAUAGACAGUCCCAAUUUGCAUAGACACGCCCUUGAAACUCCCAAUUUGCAUAGACACCCCCCCCAGGCUCACCUGGCCAGGCCUCAUUUGCAUGGCCACGCCCCUUUCCUCAUCGAUUGGUGCUGCGGGCCGGGCCCCGCCCCUUCCCGACGCCGAUUGGCCGACGGCAGCGGGUUAUGCAAAUGAGGCGGAGGGGCGUGGCUUCUCUUUUUUUCCGUGUAAAUUUUGGGGUUUUUGGGGUCGUUUUUUUGGGGGAAUUUCGGGGAUUUUUGGGGCUUUUCCCGCAGGCCGGGAGGGGGGGGAGGGGCCGAGCGCAGGCCCCGCCCCCGGGGGGGGGGAGGGGCGCGAAUAAUUAAUUAAUUGUGGUUAAUUAAUAAAGGAGAGAACGAAACUGGCUCGGUUGGUUCU
rnacentral:lncRNA from 1 species